rnacentral:tRNA from 1 species
ACUUUCCUGGUCCAGUGGCUAAGACUCUGCACUCCCAAUGCAGGGGACCUGGGUUCUAUCCCUGGUCAAGGA